rnacentral:rRNA from 1 species
UACGUAGGGUGCGAGCGUUGUCCGGAAUUAUUGGGCGUAAAAGAGCUCGUAGGCGGUGUGUCACGUCGGCCGUGAAAACCUGCAGCUUAAACUGUGGGCGUGCGGUCGAUACGGGGCAUCACUGGAGUUCGGCAGGGGGAGACUGGAAUUCCUGGUGUAGCGGUGAAAAUGCGCAGAUAUCAGGAGGAACACCAGUGGCGAAGGCGGCUCACUGGCCCCAUACU